CGAAACAAGUAAGGCGAGGCCGAAAGGCGUAGUCGAUGGGAAACGGGUUAAUAUUCCCGUACUUGGUGUUACUGCGAAGGGGGGACGGAGAAGGCUAUGUUGGCCGGGCGACGGUUGUCCCGGUUUAAGCGUGUAG
rnacentral:rRNA from 1 species